UGGAGGACUGAGAAGGUUGAGCAGCUUGUGUUGUGCUGUUAUAACUGGUUAUAACCUCCAAUAGUAAAACACAAACCACUCUGUUCAGUGGCUCUGUGCUGUGCAGAGCCAAUUAUGUGCGUUUGUGAACAAAAC